UACGGAGGGUGCGAGCGUUGUCCGGAAUCACUGGGCGUAAAGGGCGCGUAGGCGGCCUGAUAAGUAGGGGGUGAAAUCCUGCGGCUUAACCGCAGGGCUGCCUUCUAAACUGUCAGGCUAGAGCACGGUAGAGGCAGAUGGAAUUCCCGGUGUAGCGGUGGAAUGCGUAGAGAUCGGGAAGAACAUCAGUGGCGAAGGCGGUCUGCUGGGCCGUUGCUGACGCUGAGGCGCGACAGCGUGGGGAGCAAACAGA
rnacentral:rRNA from 1 species